UUUCUACUCCCUCCGUCCGAAAAUACUUGUCAUCAAAAUGGAUAAAAAUAGAUGUAUCUAAAACUAAAAUACGUCAAAUACAUUUCCUUUUAUCCAUUUUGAUGACAAGUAUUUCCGGACGGAGGGAGUAUUUG
rfam:Triticum aestivum genome assembly, contig: Triticum_aestivum_CS42_TGACv1_scaffold_030392_1BL